UACGGGGGAAGCAAGCGUUGUUCGGAUUUACUGGGCGUAAAGGGCGCGUAGGCGGCCACCGCAAGUCGACUGUGAAAUCUCCGGGCUUAACCCGGAAAGGUCAGCCGAUACUGCGGGGCUAGAGUGCAGAAGGGGCAACUGGAAUUCUCGGUGUAGCGGUGAAAUGCGUAGAUAUCGAGAGGAACACCUGCGGCGAAGGCGGGUUGCUGGGCUGACACUGACGCUGAUGUGCGAAAGCUAGGGGAGCGAACGGG
rnacentral:rRNA from 1 species